ensembl:rRNA 5S_rRNA 5S ribosomal RNA
GCUUACGGCCAUACCACCCUGAGAACGCCCGAUCUCGUCUGAUCUCGGAAGCUAAGCAGGGUCGGGUCUGGUUAGUACUUGGAUGGGAGACCGCCUGGGAAUACCAGGUGCUGUAAGCU